UAGGCACAGAAUUAACAAGGC
rnacentral:miRNA from 1 species